AGAACGAACGCUGGCGGCAUGCCUAACACAUGCAAGUCGAACGAGACCUUCGGGUCUAGUGGCGCACGGGUGCGUAACGCGUGGGAAUCUGCCCUUGGGUUCGGGAUAACAGUUGGAAACGACUGCUAAUACCGGAUGAUGACUUCGGUCCAAAGAUUCAUCGCCCAAGGAUGAGCCCGCGUAGGAUUAGCUUGUUGGUGAGGUAAGAGCUCACCAAGGCGACGAUCCUUAGCUGGUCUGAGAGGAUGAUCAGCCACACUGGGACUGAGACACGGCCCAGACUCCUACGGGAGGCAGCAGUGGGGAAUAUUGGACAAUGGGCGAAAGCCUGAUCCAGCAAUGCCGCGUGAGUGAUGAAGGCCUUAGGGUCGUAAAGCUCUUUUACCCGGGAUGAUAAUGACAGUACCGGAGAAUAAGCCCCGGCUAACUCCGCGCCAGCAGCCGC
rnacentral:rRNA from 1 species